rnacentral:rRNA from 1 species
AAUGAACGCUGGCGGCGCGCCUAAUACAUGCAAGUCGAGCGAGAAGACGUAGCAAUACGUUUGUAAAGCGGCGAACGGGUGAGGAAUACAUGGGUAACCUACCCUCGAGUGGGGAAUAACUAGCCGAAAGGUUAGCUAAUACCGCGUACGCUCCUUGGACUUCGGUUCAGGGAGGAAAGCGAUACCGUGGGUAUCGCGCUCUUGGAUGGGCUCAUGUCCUAUCGGCUUGUUGGUGAGGAACGGCUCACCAAGGCUUCGACGGGUAGCUGGUCUGAGAGGACGAUCAGCCACACUGGCACUGCGACACGGGCCAGACUCCUACGGGAGGCAGCAGUAAGGAAUAUUGCGCAAUGGGCGAAAGCCUGACGCAGCGACGCCGCGUGGGGGAUGAAGGUCUUCGGAUUGUAAACCUCUUUCAGCUCCGACGAAGCGAGAGUGACGGUAGGAGCAGAAGAAGCACCGGCCAACUACGUGCCAGCAGCCGCGGUAAC